CCUACGGGAGGCAGCAGUGAGGAAUAUUGGUCAAUGGGCGCGAGCCUGAACCAGCCAAGUAGCGUGAAGGAUGACUGCCCUACGGGUUGUAAACUUCUUUUAUAAAGGAAUAAAGUGAGGCACGUGUGCCUUUUUGUAUGUACUUUAUGAAUAAGGAUCGGCUAACCCCGUGCCAGCAGCGGCGGUAAUACGGAGGAUCCGAGAGUUAGCCGGACUUAUUGGGUUUAAAGGGAGCGUAGAUGGGUUGUUAAGUCAGUUGUGAAAGUGUGCGGCUCAACCGUAAAAUUGCAAUUGAUACUGGCAGCCUUGAGUGCAGUUGAGGUAGGCGGAAUGCGUGGUGUAGCGGUGAAAUGCUUAGAUAUAACGAAGAACUCCGAUUGCGAAGGCAGCCUACUAAACUGCCACUGACGUUGAUGCUCGAAAGUGUGGGUAUCAAACAGGAUUAGAUACCCGAGUAGUC
rnacentral:rRNA from 1 species